AGUUGGUAGAGCAGAGGACUGAAAAU
rnacentral:tRNA from 1 species